GCCCUUAUAGCUCAAAGGUAGAGCUUCGGUCUGGAAAGCCUAGGCCAGUGGCUCGAUCCCCGUCCCGGACA
rnacentral:tRNA from 1 species